UGAUGUGACUCUGGGCCUGGGCUGUAG
rnacentral:piRNA from 1 species